rnacentral:rRNA from 1 species
UGGGGGAAUAUUGGACAAUGGGCGCAAGCCUGAUCCAGCAAUGCCGCGUGUGUGAAGAAGGCCCUCGGGUUGUAAAGCACUUUUGUCCGGAAAGAAAUCCUUGGCUCUAAUACAGUCGGGGGAUGACGGUACCGGAAGAAUAAGCACCGGCUAACUACGUGCCAGCAGCCGCGGUAAUACGUAGGGUGCAAGCGUUAAUCGGAAUUACUGGGCGUAAAGCGUGCGCAGGCGGUUUGCUAAGACCGAUGUGAAAUCCCCGGGCUCAACCUGGGAACUGCAUUGGUGACUGGCAGGCUAGAGUAUGGCAGAGGGGGGUAGAAUUCCACGUGUAGCAGUGAAAUGCGUAGAGAUGUGGAGGAAUACCGAUGGCGAAGGCAGCCCCCCUGGGCCAAAUACUGACGCUCAUGCACGAAAGCGUGGGGGAGCAAAACAGGAUUAGAUA